rnacentral:lncRNA from 1 species
CUCGCCACGACCCCAGACGUGACCCGGAAGUGACCGGGUACUGCCGCCCUUCCGUUGGCAUGGCUCCAAAUUUGUCACUUAGUCCGUUGGAGCCGUUAAAUGGCAGACUUUAAUUGCAAAUGAACAUUAGAGUGAGGGCGCCUAGAUGAGAGGAGCAGUCAAAAAGCAGGGUGUCACCCGAGUAAUUCACUGUACGAUGACCUUUCGGUUUCUGCUUGGCUGGCGCACUGCGCUGGUCACGCAGGUGUGGCUGGUGGCCAAGACCGGAUAAAUUUUUACAUAGCCUUUUAAUUGCUUCCUUGAAAUCUUUUUUCUCUUUUAUUAAAGUUUUAGCUUUGAAUUUAAGUGACUCUGACUGCGUCCCCAAAAUUUGGCCAAGGAUAUCUUUUUCCUUCUCAGCAGGGAAGUUCUGUGGACCUGUCUGGGGUCACUUUUCAUGAGGAACGUUGACAAACUUACAUGAAAUAGGGGUCGAAAGUAAGAUGGUUAAAUGUGAAAAGAGGGCAAGUUGAGGAGCUCUGGGGAAGAUGGUCCUGGAAAAGCAGAGACCCAUGGGAACAAUAUAUAUCUCCAAAAUUUGGAGAGUCAGUCUGAGCAAGAAGGGUCAUAGCAUCAGAAAACAGAACUAGGACUAACUAGUGAAAGUUAAGGGAGGGAGCUUAAAGUCCUUACAAGAAUUUUGUUCAUAAAUAAGGCUGCACAAAUAAUGGCAUAGGCUCCCACAGGAAGCUUUGAGUUCUCCGUACCCUAAAAGUGAACCAUUUGAGCAGAAUCAGAGUAUUGUAGAGGAGAUUAAAGGGUCAAAUAAGAGUUUGUACAGUGAUUCCUUAAAAUGCUGAAAAUACUUGUCUUCAUGAACACUAUGCAGUAGGUAUGGGCUUGCAAGAAAAAUUGCUUCUGCCACAACUAGGACCCAGAACUAAAAAUAUACAACUAUGUACUGGGGGACUUUGGGAGAAAAAGGAAAAAUUUGAAAAAAAAGAAAAAUUCCUUCUGCUACUCCUUGUGUCAUAGGUUCUUGGCUUCACUCAAGCCUGUACUCUAAUUCCACAGGCAAGGCUGAGCUAAAUGAUAAUGUCCAGGAGGACACACACAUGAAAUAACAUAGCUGUAAGCAUCUAGUCUAGAGGUUUGAUCUGGCGACAUUUCUUCCCUUGCUGUGGGAAGGUAUGAGGUAUAAUUUCACCAAAACCAACCCAGAGCUGAUUUUAUAUGGCUAGAAAUUCGUGGGCUCUCAAAAAUAGGGAAAAAAAUUCUGAUUUAAUUUAAUGUUCUCAGACAACUCUAGGCAACAGUAGAUAAAUGAGAAAAAGUCAAGAACUAGUAUCUUUAUAUGCUCUACCCACUCUUCCCUUUUCCAUGGUACAAUUCUGGUAGAAAAUGUGUUAGGGAGAAGAAAGUAAGAAGAAAAUGACUAUACUAUACCACACCCAAUAGCAUAAAUAAGAUUUAAAAAAUAGGAUUUAAAAAAGGAAAUGGUCUGACAAAAAUGCAAACAUAAAACAAAGCAUGCAGAAGACUUUCUAGACUCUAAUCUAGAAGAAAACGUAUCCUAAGCAACAGAUGUUCGUGCUAAAAAAGCAACUUAAUAUGAUGAUGAAUUACACUUUUUAAAAAAAACUAUUAACUGUUAUUUAGAGAAUAUUAUCGCCAUGAGCCCUUCAAUUAUUCCCAUAAACCCUUUAUUAGACUCCCUGCAAAUUAAUAAAGAACAAGCUUCAGAAAACCAAACAGUUGGAAAGACAUCAUCAUAAAUAAACGAUAUCACAGUUAAUAAUACAAACAAUAUGAAAAAGGAAUGUGGCAAAAAUGAAAGCAUAAGAACAAAACAGCUCACAUAAUAAUAUAGAGAAAAAUAUUAUCCAACUGUGAACUCCCUAAAACACACGGACUACGAUCUCACCCCUGACUUAAGGAAAAUCUAUAUCCUCAAAGGCUCAGCUUCAUUUUUUUUGCCCAUUUGGUGCCCUGAGCCACUCUAUAAAGAAGUCUGGCUAUCCUACUGGGGAGAGAGAGGCCACAAGACAACAGAGUCCCUGGAGAAUGAAACACCACACAGAGAGAGGCCACAUGGAGCCAACAGUCAGCAUCGUAAUUCCAUAUGCAUGAGGAAGGCCUUCCCAGACCUUGCGGCCCAAAUCGGUCACUUGCUCAUUUCAACCAGACAGUUGAGUCCAGUCGAUAACACAUGGAGCAGAGGACUAAGGAUGCUACUAGAAUUUCAUGGCCAGAGCCAGGGUGGUUGUAUAUCCUGCAACUGGGUGGAAUGUCCCACCUAAAAUGCCAAUAGAGC